rnacentral:rRNA from 1 species
GACGUAGGGCGCGAGCGUUGUCCGGAUUUAUUGGGCGUAAAGAGCUCGUAGGCGGCUUGUCGCGUCGUCCGUGAAAACCUGCGGCUCAACUGCAGGCUGGCGGUCGAUACGGGCAGACUAGAGUGUGGUAGGGGAGACUGGAAUUCCUGGUGUAGCGGUGAAAUGCGCAGAUAUCAGGAGGAACACCGAUGGCGAAGGCAGGUCUCUGGGCCACUACUGACGCUGAGAAGCGAAAGCAUGGGGAGCGAACAGG